CCGGCCUAGGAGACGGCUGCGCUACGGGGAAUAUCUGGACCCGCGGUACAUUACACUGGCGGCUUCCUGGACCACGGGUCCAGAUUUGUGUGUCCGUGCGGCCGUCGGCGUGUGUCUCCCGGAUCGAACCGCUUGAAACUUGGUGUCGCUCCCGAGCAGAGUAGAGCCCUCUCCGGCGAUUUGAGCAGGUGCUGAAGCGGGGUGUGCGGGGACUGUGACGGCGAAGUGGCGGAGGGUAGAGCAGGAUUUCGCCGGCGACCUGAAUCAACGAAUUGGAUUUCCCGCUGGAUCUGGUGAGCAGCGUUCCUAUCUGGGAGGGCGGAGCGGACGCUGCGGUGGAUGCUACGGCCGCGAGGGAAGAUGGCGAGUGCAAUGGAGCAGGAUCAAUCCGCGAUGGGCAAAGUACAAAGCUAUUGCCGGGUUCGGGUUCUGAGCAGGACGCUGAUGGGCAAGCGGACUCCGCACUCUCAACUGGAAAUAGGGAUCUGCAAUCUCUGGGGUAGAAAAAAAUGGUAAUUAAUCGCCAGAGCAUACGCAUGAAAUUCGGCCAGCUCAGUUAGAAAUAAUCUGUGUGCAUUCGUAUGAUCACAGAUAGAAAUUAGAGGUUAACAUAUUUGGCUGAUGCAAUGCCCUUGUGGAUUCAUUACGCAUGUUCAGUUUGACAUAUUUUCUUUUA